CCGAGUAGAAGUUACUAGCACA
rnacentral:snRNA from 1 species